AUAGGUGUAACUAACCGUAGCAUAUUUUUACACCCAAAGUCCCCUUGAGCGGGGCUACAGUCCAUAGAAGGUGCUAGACCUGUACGGGUGAAAAAAGUUACGGUACGGUUACACUUUAGAGUCGGGUUGUUUGAGAUUGCAGCCCAAAGAGGGUGGUAAACCUCAUCUAAGGCUAAAUAUGACCACGAGACCGAUAGCAAACAAGUACCGUGAGGGAAAGUUGCAAAGAACUUUGAAGAGAGAGUUCAAGAGGGCGUGAAACCGCUGAGAUGGAAACGGAUAGAGUUAACGAAACUUAUCGGUAUUCAGCCAAUCAAUUUAGCAAUCUUAAAUUGAUUUAUCAUUUUUAUUGGGUAACACCGAUGAAAAUGAAAUGAUAUUUAAGAGAUGGGUGCUAAAUUAUCCAAUGUAUGCAAAAAAAAUGAUUGGUGUAUUUACCGAUGGUAUGCAUCGAAAGCUUCGUUUUAGCAUAUUGAUAGAACAAUUUAGUGGACCAAUUAUUCAAUGAAUAAUUGUAAUCCUAAAUUUUUUGGAAAUAUGUCUGAAAUGAAGUUUCAUUUCCCAUACAUGUAACUCUCACUUGAAAUAAUAGUGACAUGCAUCGAUUAAUAUUUUACCUGUAACAUUUACAUGUAGUCGCAUGCGACUUUAACGGUAAAUGAAUUUAUUGGUAAA
rnacentral:rRNA from 1 species